GAAAACAAAUGCAAUUUGCGGUUAUAUUAAAAAUCCACUAAGCGAAACCAGAAGAUAGAAAAAAAGAAUUGGAAAAAAAAAAAUCUUUUUAUCUAAAAGACUUGCUCUAACCAUGGUCUAUGAUGUCUGGUUUUGUACACAAAAAGGGAGAAAGGAUCACUGGUCAAGGAAAACUCCCACUAUAUCCCUUACCUUGUGAGCUCGAUCUCACUGUAAUAAUAUAUAUCUCUUUAGCACGUUCGAUACUUGUGUUAGUUAGCAGUGGGAGCAGUUUUUUGUGGAGAUAAGAGUUAUUUAAGACGAUAGAAAAGAAUCAAAGUUUUGAAACGGCAACUUUGGCUACUUCUGUUAAUCUUAAGAAUCUGGA
rnacentral:misc_RNA from 1 species